AUGAGUAAUGAUUAUAAAAGUUAUUGAAGUAGAGCUUGAAUGCGAUGUGUAUUGUGUGUGACACCGAUAACGGGUGGCGUCUAGUGAUUGAGUCCCAAGUACAGGUGUGAAUGAAAAAGGAAAGUAAAUGAGAACGGGAAGGGAUAAGUGAAAAUGAUAAGGAAGUGAAUGGAUAAGUAAAAGUAUGAGAGAAUGAUGUUAAGGUUAAGCAUGGGUGGGAAAGCAUAUAGAGAGUCUAAGGAAAGUAUGUGGGGUAGUAGUCCACGCUAGGU
rnacentral:lncRNA from 1 species